rnacentral:tRNA from 2 species
GCCUUGUUGGCUAAGUGGUAUAGCGUCUCACUAGUAAUACUGGUGUCAUGAGAAGAUCGGCGGUUCGAUUCCGCCACGAGGCA